UACGGAGGAUCCAAGCGUUGUCCGGAUUUAUUGGGUUUAAAGGGUGCGUAGGCGGAUCUUUAAGUCAGUGGUGAAAGCCUGCAGCUCAACUGUGGAAUUGCCAUUGAAACUGAAGAUCUUGAAUUAGGUUAAAGUAGGCGGAAUGUAUUAUGCAGCGGUGAAACGCUUAGAUAUGAUACAGAACACCGAUAGCGAAGGCAGCUUGCUGAACCUAUAUUGACGCUGAGGCACGAAAGCGUGGGGAGCGAACAGG
rnacentral:rRNA from 1 species